rnacentral:misc_RNA from 1 species
GUGAAUCAUCGAAUCUUUGAACGCAAAUUGCACUCCCUGGUAUGCCGGGGAGUAUGCCUGUUUGAGGGUCGUUAGAACAAAAAUCGAAGCGUCGCUCUUUUUUUAAGGGUGAUCGCGUCGGAAUUGAGCCGUCUUUCAAAUGGUAAUUUAUGUUAAAGUGUCUUAAAAUUCACCAAUCCGAGACGAUUAAAGCGUAUUUAAGAUCAAC